GUUAAUGUAGCUUAAUAAAAAGCGAAGCACUGAAAAUGCUUAGAUGGUCUAUUCCACUAGAUCCAUAAACA
rnacentral:tRNA from 1 species